rnacentral:lncRNA from 1 species
AUUGUGUUAUUGCUGUGGUUUUGUGGGAGUUGCCACACUGAGAAAGUCUUGGGUCAAUGGUAUCUGCUUGCCUGGUCCUCUACUCAAGAUCUUGCAUGUCCAGACAGUCUAAAACAGGGCUCUGUCACGACUUCCGCCGAAGUUGGCUCCCCUGCCUGUUUCGGGCGGUGCUCGUCGGUGGUCGUCACCGGCCUACUAGAAGUUGGCUCCCCUGCCUGUUUCGGGCGGUGCUCGUCGGUGGUCGUCACCAGCCUACUAGAAGUUGGCUCCCCUGCCUGUUUCGGGCGGUGCUCGUCGGUCGUCGUCACCGGCCUACUAGAAGUUGGCUCCCCUGCCUGUUUCGGGCGGUGCUCGUCGGUGGUCGUCACCGGCCUACUAGCCACCCCCGAUCCCUUUUUCGUUUUCUGUUUGUUUUGUCUUAUUAGUUGCACCUGUGUCUAUUUGUGUGUGCUUGAUGGGCUUCCUUAUUUAAAGUGCGUAUACCCGCCCUUGUUUUGUGCGGGAUUACUCUUGUGUUAUUUAGGUGUGUUCGUGUUCUGGACCUGGUACCCUGUGUUGUGUGUUGGUACCCUGUGUUGUGGGUUGGUACCCUGUGUUGUGGGUUGGUACCCUGUGUUGUGGGUUGGUACCCUGUGUUGUGGGUUGGUCCCUGUGUUGUGGGUUGGUCCCUGUGUUGUGGGUUGGUACCCUGUGUUGUGGGUUGGUACCCUGUGUUGUGGGUUGGUACCCUGUGUUGUGGGUUGGUCCCUGUGUUGUGGGUUGGUCCCUGUGUUGUGGGUUGGUCCCUGUGUUGUGGGUUGGUACCCUGUGUUGUGGGUUGGUCCCUGUGUUGUGGGUUGGUCCCUGUGUUGUGGGUUGGUCCCUGUGUUGUGGGUUGGUCCCUGUGUUGUGGGUUGGUCCCUGUGUUGUGGGUUGGUCCCUGUGUUGUGGGUUGGUCCCUGUGUUGUGGGUUGGUCCCUGUGCUGUGGGUUGGUCCCUGUGUUGUGGGUUGGUACCCUGUGUUAUGGGUUGGUCCCUGUGUUGUGGGUUGGUUCCUGUGUUGUGGGUUGGUACCCUGUGUUGUGGGUUGGUCCCUGUGUUGUGGGUUGGUCCCUGUGUUGUGGGUUGGUCCCUGUGUUGUGGGUUGGUACCCUGUGUUGUGGGUUGGUACCCUGUGUUGUGGGUUGGUACCCUGUGUUGUGGGUUGGUCCCUGUGUUGUGGGUUGGUCCCUGUGUUGUGGGUUGGUCCCUGUGUUGUGGGUUGGUCCCUGUGUUGUGAGCAUUGCUCUUUGUGCCAUAGUAAAGUGCACCUCUUCCUGUGGAACUCUCUGCUCUCAGCGCCUGAUUCUUCCUCACACACCUAGUCCCGCCUGGAGAGUCAUCCUCCUGUAG